UGUGGCUGGGGGUGAAAGGCCAAUCAAACCGGGAGAUAGCUGGUUCUCCCCGAAAGCUAUUUAGGUAGCGCCUCGUGAACUCAUCUUCGGGGGUAGAGCACUGUUUCGGCUAGGGGGUCAUCCCGACUUACCAACCCGAUGCAAACUGCGAAUACCGAAGAAUGUUAUCACGGGAGACACACGGCGGGUGCUAACGUCCGUCGUGAAGAGGGAAACAACCCAGACCGCCAGCUAAGGUCCCAAAGUCACAGUUAAGUGGGAAACGAUGUGGGAAGGCUCAGACAGCCAGGAUGUUGGCUUAGAAGCAGCCAUCAUUUAAAGAAAGCGUAAUAGCUCACUGGUCGAGUCGGCCUGCGCGGAAGAUGUAACGGGGCUAAACUGUGCACCGAAGCUGCGGCAGCGACGCUUAUGCGUUGUUGGGUAGGGGAGCGUUCUGUAAGCCUGCGAAGGUGUCCUGUGAGGGAUGCUGGAGGUAUCAGAAGUGCGAAUGCUGACAUAAGUAACGAUAAUGCGGGUGAAAAGCCCGCUCGCCGGAAGACCAAGGGUUCCUGUCCAACGUUAAUCGGGGCAGGGUGAGUCGACCCCUAAGGCGAGGCCGAAAGGCGUAGUCGAUGGGAAACGGGUUAAUAUUCCCGUACUUGGUGUUACUGCGAAGGGGGGACGGAGAAGGCUAUGUUGGCCGGGCGACGGUUGUCCCGGUUUAAGCGUGUAGGCUGGUUUUCCAGGCAAAUCCGGAAAAUCAAGGCUGAGGCGUGAUGACGAGGCACUACGGUGCUGAAGCAACAAAUGCCCUGCUUCCAGGAAAAGCCUCUAAGCAUCAGGUAACAUCAAAUCGUACCCCAAACCGACACAGGUGGUCAGGUAGAGAAUACCAAGGCGCUUGAGAGAACUCGGGUGAAGGAACUAGGCAAAAUGGUGCCGUAACUUCGGGAGAAGGCACGCUGACACGUAGGUGAAGUGAUUUACUCA
rnacentral:rRNA from 1 species